rnacentral:lncRNA from 1 species
GCAAACUGCUCUGUGCUCAUGGGUAAGAGAGCUCAAGAGAUAUGUCUUGUUUAGGAAUUAGGAUGGAAACCAGUCAAAUAAUUUUUUUUCAGACACGUUAAUAAUAUAAUGAAACUAGGUUAUUUUACACAUUUCUAACACUCUAUACCAUACACCUGUAUAUAUUUUCUCAACUUUGUAUUUGUCAAUUUGUUUAUAAUUUUGUAACACUUUUUGAUGUUUUAUUAUUUUUUUUGAAAUGGAGUCUUGCUCUGUCACCCAGGCUGGAAUGCAAUGGCACCAUCUCAGCUCACUGCAACCUCCGUCCCCGGGUUCAAAUGAUUCUCCCGCCUCAGCCUCCCGAGUAGCUGGGAUUACAGGCACCCGCCAUCAUGCCUAGCUAAUUUUUGUAUUUUUGUAAAAACAAGGUUUCAUCAUGUUGGCCAGGCUGGUCUUGAACUCCUGACCUCAGGUGAUCCGCCCACCUCGGCCUUCCAAAGUGCUGGGAUUACAGACGUGAGCCACCGCACCCAGCCUUAUUAUUAACUUCCAACUGAGAUAGACUUUUGUAAUAUAUUCUGAUUUUGAACAACCUACAGUAGACAUUUGUAAAAUAUAUUGUUAAUUUAAAUUUUUUUUUAAAAAAUGAAACUUUCCAAAUGUGCUCCAUGGGAGUUAGGCUGAUACAACUAGAAACUACAGAAUGAUUUGGCCUUGGAUUUCACUCAUUAAGAGAGAGCUGCCAACUUGUCCUCACCAACAGGGCAGUGAGUUUGCUUCACUUUUGUUUGGCUAUCAGUACAGAAGUCAAGGCUGUCUGUAGUCUUUGUACAACUCAGGAUAGUUCUUUCAUUUGAGGACAAGGCUGUCAUCUGAUUCUUUCCUGGAAUCUGGAGGUGAUAAAAUAGAUAUGGACUAACAAGAAAGCAAAUUUGCUGCCAAUUUGUACUGACUUCUGAAAAAUACUUUAUCCAUUGUCUUCUUACAUCAGAAUCAACUCCCUAAAUUCUUCAGCACUGGCUUUGUAAACUGGUUUCUGGUCUUUGUUUCUGUCAACUUACCUAUAAAAGGAUACAAAAACUGAAGAACAGAGAGGAGCAGAUACCCUGGAAAGCCGAAAGUUUUAUUGACCAAAGACUGAGUCUCGGAAUGUUUUGAUUGUGGAGUUUAUAGAGUUCAGGCUGAAGUUUUAUAAAAAUAACUUGCAGCAGCAUGGAGGACUGAUGAGAAAGUAGACAGAUGCUGGAAGCAGGAAAACUGAACAGCAGGUCACUGGCCAAGGAGAAUCAAAGAGCUAGAUGCUGAGAAUAAUGCAGCCAUAACGUGAAAUCUUUUUGAGACCACUCACUCUGGGAGAAAGCAACUGGCUAUGUCAUGAGGAAAUUGAAACCACCUAUGGAGAAAGGCCCACAUGGUGAGAAAGUAAAGCCUCUUCCCAAUACCAAAAUUCUGUAAGUCUGCUACGGUGACAUUUCUGGUUAGGAGUCAGAGUGGAUGGGACACUGAGCAAUAAGAAUGCAGAGACAUGAUGGCUGAAGCUGGAGCUUUUCCCUGAAGCAACCACCUGUUGGAAACUUCAUGUUGAAGAUGACUGAAUAAUAAGACAGAGGGGUCUGGGUCCCUGGUGGAUAUUCCAGAUCUGGGUGUUCGUGG